rnacentral:rRNA from 1 species
UACAGAGGGGGCAAGCGUUGUUCGGAAUUACUGGGCGUAAAGGGCGCGUAGGCGGCCUUUCUAAGUCGAACGUGAAAUCCCCCGGGCUCAACCCGGGAACUGCGUCCGAUACUGGAAGGCUUGAAUCCGGGAGAGGGGAUGCGGAAUUCCAGGUGUAGGCGGUGAAAUGCGUAGAUAUCUGGAAGGAACACCGGUGGCGAAGGCGGCAUCCUGGACCGGCAUUGACGCUGAGGCGCGAA